rnacentral:misc_RNA from 1 species
AUGAGUUCCAGCCAUUCACCAACAUCCAUCACUAGAAGGCUAGAAGGGAAGGUAGCAUUGAUAACCGGUGGCGCCAGUGGAAUAGGUGAGAGCACCGCCAGGCUAUUUGUCCAACAUGGAGCCAAGGUACUCAUUGCUGACGUCCAAGAUGAUCUUGGGAAAUCACUUUGUCAAGAAUUUGGCUCUCCAAAAGAAAGCAAUAUUUCUUAUGUACAUUGCGAUGUAACUUCUGACUCCGAUGUCCAAAACGCUGUGGAUAAGGCUGUCUCCAGGUAUGGAAAGCUUGAUAUAAUGUUCAACAAUGCUGGAAUUGGGGGUGCUGCAGAA